GUGCUUUAAAGCUAAUCAAGCGGCUGGGAUCAAACCCGACUAACCAUUCUGUUCCUUCUGAAGGAAGGCCACUGACUGCUUUGCGUCGAUCUACUGCUCUCGUCUCGUUGCCUCGCCUAGAAACGCAGGUACGCAGCUGCUCCGGCCACAUCUUUCUCAGUUCCUCAACAGCGCCUAGGUAGUCAGAGCAUAGUCAUGGUACGAGACGCAAACAGAACGGCGGAGGAACGAAGCCAGAGGCGCAUAUAGUCAUGGUACAUCACACUGCCAUAUGGGACCCACAUUUGAUGGAGAAAUGUGUGGCAGCGUAGAGGAGGAAAAAAGCAUGGGAGAUGGAGGACCACGUAGGAAGAGAAGGAAAUGUCACUGUCUUGUGCGGGGACCAAGUCAUGACAAGGAAUCUGGUCGGGGACACUUUUUACGCCAAAAAGUGCGCGCGCACUCCCUAGCAGCCCCCACCGGGGAAUCAUUGGUUUCAAAUCAGGGUGAGCACUAGAAGAACUAAGCCAGUUACAACUAAUUCAGUUUUUAUUUUUCUCUUGAAAAUAGAAUGGGAACUGAAAUCUCGAUGAGGUUAGAAAUUCUGCAAAAUAACAGGCACAUGUUUGGUGUUUUUUUUAAGAAGUAAAACUCCUUGGUCAACUGA